rnacentral:rRNA from 1 species
UUAGAGUUUGAUCCUGGCUCAGGAUGAACGCUGGCGGCGUGCCUAACACAUGCAAGUCGAGCGAUUCUCUUCGGAGAAGAGCGGCGGACGGGUGAGUAACGCGUGGGUAACCUGCCCUGUACACACGGAUAACAUACCGAAAGGUAUGCUAAUACGGGAUAACAUAAGAAAUUCGCAUGUUUUUCUUAUCAAAGCUCCGGCGGUACAGGAUGGACCCGCGUCUGAUUAGCUAGUUGGUGAGGUAACGGCUCACCAAGGCGACGAUCAGUAGCCGACCUGAGAGGGUGAUCGGCCACAUUGGAACUGAGACACGGUCCAAACUCCUACGGGAGGCAGCAGUGGGGAAUAUUGCACAAUGGGCGAAAGCCUGAUGCAGCAACGCCGCGUGAGCGAUGAAGGCCUUCGGGUCGUAAAGCUCUGUCCUCAAGGAAGAUAAUGACAGUACUUUAGGAGGAAGCCCCGGCUAACUACGUGCCAGCAGCCGCGGUAAUACGUAGGGGGCGAGCGUUGUCCGGAAUUAUUGGGCGUAAAGGGUACGUAGGCGGUUUUGCAAGUCCCUUUGUGAAAGCCCAGGGCUCAACCCCUGGCAAGCAGUGGAAAACUACAGAACUUGAGUAGUGGAGAGGAAAGUGGAAUUUCCUAGUGGAGCGGGGAAAUGCCUAAAUUUUAGGAAGAAUACCGGGGG